CAAGCACCGGCGGACGGCUCAGUAACACGUGGACAACCUGCCCUCGGGAGGGGGAUAGCCCCGGGAAACUGGGGCUAAACCCCCAUAGGAGAUGGAUACUGGAAUGUUCCAUCUCCGAAAGUCCGCAAGGAGCCCGAGGAUGGGUCUGCGGCGGAUUAGGUAGUUGGUGGGGUAACGGCCUACCAAGCCUAAGAUCCGUACGGGCCAUGGGAGUGGGAGCCCGGAGAUGGACCCUGAGACAAGGGUCCAGGCCCUACGGGGCGCAGCAGGCGCGAAACCUCCGCAAUGCGGGAAACCGCGACGGGGUCAGCCGGAGUGCCGAUGCUUGCAUCGGCUGUCGGGGAGCCUAAAAAGCUCCCCAUAGCAAGGGCCGGGCAAGGCCGGUGGCAGCCGCCGCGGUAAUACCGGCGGCCCGAGUGGCGGUCACUAUUAUUGGGCUUAAAGCGUCCGUAGCCGGGUUGGGAAGUCCUCCGGGAAAUCUGGCCGCUUAACGGUCAGAAUGCCGGAGGAUACUCCCAGCCUAGGGAGCGGGAGAGGCCGAGGGUAUUCCCGGAGUAGGGGUGAAAUCCUAUAAUCCCGGGAGGACCACCUGUGGCGAAG
rnacentral:rRNA from 1 species